UCAGGACGAACGCUGGCGGCGUGCCUAAUACAUGCAAGUAGAACGCUGAAGAGAGGAGCUUGCUCUUCUUGGAUGAGUUGCGAACGGGUGAGUAACGCGUAGGUAACCUGCCUUGUAGCGGGGGAUAACUAUUGGAAACGAUAGCUAAUACCGCAUAACAAUGGAUGACACAUGUCAUUUAUUUGAAAGGGGCAAUUGCUCCACUACAAGAUGGACCUGCGUUGUAUUAGCUAGUAGGUGAGGUAACGGCUCACCUAGGCGACGAUACAUAGCCGACCUGAGAGGGUGAUCGGCCACACUGGGACUGAGACACGGCCCAGACUCCUACGGGAGGCAGCAGUAGGGAAUCUUCGGCAAUGGGGGCAACCCUGACCGAGCAACGCCGCGUGAGUGAAGAAGGUUUUCGGAUCGUAAAGCUCUGUUGUAAGUCAAGAACGAGUGUGAGAGUGGAAAGUUCACACUGUGACGGUAGCUUACCAGAAAGGGACGGCUAACUACGUGCCAGCAGCCGCGGUAAUACGUAGGUCCCGAGCGUUGUCCGGAUUUAUUGGGCGUAAAGCGAGCGCAGGCGGUUUGAUAAGUCUGAAGUUAAAGGCUGUGGCUCAACCAUAGUUCGCUUUGGAAACUGUCAAACUUGAGUGCAGAAGGGGAGAGUGGAAUUCCAUGUGUAGCGGUGAAAUGCGUAGAUAUAUGGAGGAACACCGGUGGCGAAAGCGGCUCUCUGGUCUGUAACUGACGCUGAGGCUCGAAAGCGUGGGGAGCGAACAGGAUUAGAUACCCUGGUAGUCCACGCCGUAAACGAUGAGUGCUAGGUGUUGGAUCCUUUCCGGGAUUCAGUGCCGCAGCUAACGCAUUAAGCACUCCGCCUGGGGAGUACGACCGCAAGGUUGAAACUCAAAGGAAUUGACGGGGGCCCGCACAAGCGGUGGAGCAUGUGGUUUAACUCGAAGCAACGCGAAGAACCUUACCAGGUCUUGACAUCCCGAUGCUAUUUCUAGAGAUAGAAAGUUACUUCGGUACAUCGGUGACAGGUGGUGCAUGGUUGUCGUCAGCUCGUGUCGUGAGAUGUUGGGUUAAGUCCCGCAACGAGCGCAACCCCUAUUGUUAGUUGCCAUCAUUCAGUUGGGCACUCUAGCGAGACUGCCGGUAAUAAACCGGAGGAAGGUGGGGAUGACGUCAAAUCAUCAUGCCCCUUAUGACCUGGGCUACACACGUGCUACAAUGGUUGGUACAACGAGUUGCGAGUCGGUGACGGCAAGCUAAUCUCUUAAAGCCAAUCUCAGUUCGGAUUGUAGGCUGCAACUCGCCUACAUGAAGUCGGAAUCGCUAGUAAUCGCGGAUCAGCACGCCGCGGUGAAUACGUUCCCGGGCCUUGUGCACACCGCCCGUCACACCACGAGAGUUUGUAACACCCGAAGUCGGUGAGGUAACCUUUUGGAGCCAGCCGCCUAAGGUGG
rnacentral:rRNA from 1 species